rnacentral:lncRNA from 10 species
ACUUUAAAUUUUAACUCUAAUGUAUUUGGAAGCAACCUUAUCUGCUUGUAUCUCACAGGGAUCACUGGAUACUGCAAGGCAAUAUAGAUGGUAGACGGGCAAGAGUGGAAGGAUCUCUCCAAUUUGAAGAAGAUGGCAAAACGUUGCCCUUGCAUAACAUCAGAAGAUCCCUAAUGUCUGCCUUGAAGAGCUCUCGACAAUAGCAGCAAUGAACUACAGGAAAUAGAUUUUGGACUGCAAGAGGUAUAUUCCAUGAGAAAAUUAGACUACUGACUUACAAUCUGAAAGAAAAAUGUUUGAUUGAGUUCAGCAACAGAAGCUGUUGUGGCUGUUCUAGGCAGUUUGUUUUUCCAUAUUGAAACAAAGAAACUUGCUGAGAUUUUUAUUGUAAUUACUUUGUCUGCAUAUUGAUUUGGAAUUAACUUUGGAAUAAUAUUGGAUAUUACAAGCCAUGGGUAUAAUUAACAGAAACAUAUUACAUACCCCUGAAAUCGACCAUGCAAGAAACAAUAUAAAAUUAAGACACCUCGGAUUGCUGCUCAUGUAGGCACUAAGAAAACAAGCAAGCAAACAAGCAGAAAAUCCAGGAAAUGUUACAAUGUCAUUGCUACAUGAAGAGAAGAUCAAGAGAAUUCAGCCAGAAGACUGUAGAAACAAAGGCAUGAAUCAUGCUGUCCUUGGAUAACCCGGUGUCACCCAGAAUCUCUGUAUCCCUUGGAAAUGUAGACUUUCUCCAACCGCCUCUCCCUCCUUGGUGGCUAUAACAGUUUUGGAUUAUUGCUUGCUCUUGAAAUGUGUUGUUUCAAAGGAACACAUUAUUUUGGACAUGCAAUCAGAUGAAACAUUAAAGGAGAGAAGCCUGAAGAACAAAGCAGCCACAGAUCAACAGGAGUAUAGUUUAUUAGAGGUUGGUUAGAGACUUUUUGCUAA